GACGAACGCUGGCGGCGUGCUUAACACAUGCAAGUCGAGCGGUAAGGCCCUUUCGGGGGUACACGAGCGGCGAACGGGUGAGUAACACGUGGGUGACCUGCCCUCAGCUCUGGGGAUAAGCCUGGGAAACUGGGUCUAAUACCGGAUAUGACUCCACGGCGCAUGUUGUGGGGUGGAAAGCCUUGUGUGGCUAGAGAUGGGCCCGCGGCCUAUCAGCUUGUUGGUGGGGGAUGGCCUACCAAGGCGACGACGGGUAGCCGGCCUGAGAGGGCGACCGGCCACACUGGGACUGAGACACGGCCCAGACUCCUACGGGAGGCAGCAGUGGGAAUCUUGCGCAAUGGGCGAAAGCCUGACGCAGCGACGCCGCGUGAGGGAUGACGG
rnacentral:rRNA from 1 species